GACGAACGCUGGCGGCGUGCUUAACACAUGCAAGUCGAACGAAGAGCGAUGGAAGCUUGCUUCUAUCAAUCUUAGUGGCGAACGGGUGAGUAACGCGUAAUCAACCUGCCCUUCAGAGGGGGACAACAGUUGGAAACGACUGCUAAUACCGCAUACGAUCUAAUCUCGGCAUCGAGGAUAGAUGGAAGGUGGCCUCUACAUGUAAGCUAUCACUGAAGGAGGGGAUUGCGUCUGAUUAGCUAGUUGGAGGGGUAACGGCCCACCAAGGCGAUGAUCAGUAGCCGGUCUGAGAGGAUGAACGGCCACAUUGGGACUGAGACACGGCCCAGACUCCUACGGGAGGCAGCAGUGGGGAAUCUUCCGCAAUAGACGAAAGUCUGACGGAGCAACGCCGCGUGAGCGAUGACGGCCUUCGGGUUGUAAAGCUCUGUUAAUCGGGACGAAAGGCCUUCUUGCGAAUAGUGAGAAGGAUUGACGGUACCGGAAUAGAAAGCCACGGCUAACUACGUG
rnacentral:rRNA from 1 species